GGAUUAGAUACCCUGGUAGUCCACGCCGUAAACGAUGAGAACUAGCCGUUGGAUCUUUAGAUUCAGUGGCGCAGCUAACGCAUUAAGUUCUCCGCCUGGGGAGUACGGCCGCAAGGCUAAAACUCAAAUGAAUUGACAGGGGCCCGCACAAGCGGUGGAGCAUGUGGUUUAAUUCGAUGCAACGCGAAGAACCUUACCAACCCUUGACAUCCAGUGGAAGUUUUAGAGAUAAAACUGUGCCUUUGGGAACACUGUGACAGGUGUUGCAUGGCUGUCGUCAGCUCGUGCCG
rnacentral:rRNA from 1 species